GUACAGAACAGCACAUAUACAGAUAUCUGUAUAUGUGCUGUUCUGUACCU
rnacentral:miRNA from 1 species